rnacentral:rRNA from 1 species
AUGGUUUGGCUUCUGGACGAUGUCUACGACGUGCAACACCGGGCCUACAUGAUGCCCGAGAAGGAUAAGCUUGAACCUCUGAAGAUUCGGUAUCACGGGGUCUCUGGUCCUGCCAUGCCUUACGAUGAGCGGUACACACCGUACAUCAAGCAGUCAGGACUACUCCCGUGGAUUCUGUUGGUCAGCCGGUCCAUGCCGAAUCUGAACGCUCCACUGGUGUCCGCUCUUGUUGAUCGGUGGAGGCCAGAGACCCACAGUUUCCAUCUUCGGACCGGGGAGAUGACCGUGACGCUCGAGGAUGUCUCGUUGAUCACCGGUCUUGCUAUCGACGGGAGGCCUCUAUGUAUGAGCACCGAUUCUGAUGGGUGGCGCGAGCAGAUGAUUGCUCUUAUCGGUAUGGCUCCUACCGAGGCUGAGGAUGAUGUAGAGGAGGGAGAAGAGAAGAAGAAGAGGGAAAGGAAGGCAGCCGGAGCUGCUUUCACGUGGAUUCAAAAUAACUUUGCGACGUGCCCUCCGGAUGCAACUGAUGAUGUGAUCCAGACACAUGCUCGUGUGUAUAUGUGGUACAUUGUGUCGAGGACUUUGUUUCCUGACUCCACUGGCAAGAACGCUCCAUGGAUGUGGCUGAAGGCGUUGACCGUCUUCGAUAGCAAAUGGAGCUGGGGUUCAACGACUCUUGCCUACUUGUACCGACAGCUGGAUGAUGCGUGUUGCAGGAUCACACCUAGUGCAGGCAUUGGUGGUAAUCUGCUUCUACUUUCUGUAUGGAGCUGGGAGCGUCUGCCUGUUGGACGCCCGAAGAGCGUCAGGUUUGAUCCUUGGUAUGCAGAUGAACAUGACGAAUUACGGCGCCCCACGUGGGCUUACAAGUGGGAUAUCGUUUCCGAGAUGACGAACGAUGUCAAUCUCAUGUACCAAAAGUACAUUGCCGAGUUGGACACGAUUACGCCUGAGCAGGUGGAAUGGUAG